GCCCAGAUGGUGGAAUUGGUAGACACGCAAGCUUGAGGUGCUUGUGCCGUACGGUGUGGGGGUUCAAGUCCCCCUCUGGGCA
rnacentral:tRNA from 1 species